rnacentral:rRNA from 1 species
AGAGUUUGAUCCUGGCUCAGGAUGAACGCUGGCGGCGUGCUUAACACAUGCAAGUCGAACGGAGUUUUUAAACGGAAGUUUUCGGAUGGAAGUUUAAGAACUUAGUGGCGGACGGGUGAGUAACGCGUGGGUAACCUGCCUCAUACAGGGGGAUAACAGUUAGAAAUGACUGCUAACACCGCAUAAUAUAGUGAAACCGCAUGAUUUUUGCUAUCAAAUAUUUAUAGGUAUGAGAUGGGCCCGCGUCUGAUUAGCUAGUUGGUGGGGUAAAAGCCUACCAAGGCGACGAUCAGUAGCCGGCUUGAGAGAGUGACCGGCCACAUUGGGACUGAGACACGGCCCAAACUCCUACGGGAGGCAGCAGUGGGGAAUAUUGGACAAUGGGGGAAACCCUGAUCCAGCCGACGCCGCGUGAGUGAAGAAGUAUUUCGGUAUGUAAAGCUCUAUCAGCAGGGAAGAUAAUGACAGUACCUGACUAAGAAGCCCCGGCUAACUACGUGCCAGCCGCCGC